CCUGGAUUGUCUCUGCAGAGUCGGAUUUUCUUCCCCGGUGGGUGAUAUUCCUAGUGUCCCUCCGCAUUUUCCCCGCACCACAGCGCUGCGCCUAUGAACCUCCCGGCGGGGGUCUGAUUGCACCCGGUGCCCCGUAGGGAAAGAAUCAACACCCCACGCGCCCGGCUGCCGUGGGUCUGGGGUGUUGUUUUGCACAGGGACCCGGUUUCUCAUCUGGUACCAGCGACGGUGCUACCCGAGUGGCCUCGUCCAGGGUGGGUUUCCCCCCUUCGCUGACAUUCUGUGCGUGGACUUGGAGCCCUCCCUCCCCCCAUGAUAUUCCCUCUCCUGGAGAAGGUGAGCGGCGGGCAGGGCGGUAACUGCAGCGGCAAGGUCCAGGGCCAGAUUUGGAUACGCUCCCGGCCUCUGGAAGCUACCUGGCAGCUUCAUUAGCCCUGCCAAAGGGCAGGGCUGACCUCUCUCUCCGGGUCCUCCGGCGAGCCUCCUACGGACAAAAAGGAGAGGGAGACCCAUUGAGUCACCAUUGCAAUAACUACUGUUCAUCGUGGUCCCUGUCACAGCAAAGGUGGCGGAGGUUCCUGUACAGCAGCAUCUGCAGACACAAUGGUGCCACCUGGUUUAGGCUUGAGCAUCUUCACAGGGGGGACGUUCCCAGUGGGAAUGCUGCUGUGAGGUACCGAGGUGGGAGUAUCUCCCACCUCCUGGGAGGUGCUUUCCUUGUCUUUGGUGCAGGAUUGAGUUUGGGUGUAGCAAGUGAGGACAGAGCGGGGACUCAAUUUUGUUGUAAUUUUAUGGUUAUCAUUUUCCUGCAGAGUCAUUCUGGCUGCAUGUGGUCUCAGGGGCUGUGGGUGACAGUAGGGAAAAACAGAUGUGGCAGCGGAGCAGUCAGCACUUGUGAGACUUUUGCCACAGCUGCCCCCAGCAAUGCUGAACAGCUGGAGGCACAUUUGCUGGUUAUCCCUAGCAUUCCAAUGCCUCAAAAUUCAGUCCUUGGAGGUGUUUUUCCAUAAAAUGAGACUAAGAUUCA